AAAGCAUUCCUAUCAUUAGAUUCUAAUCCAGAACCACAUGAUUCACCUUGUAUGGCUGUUUCUGUGGAUGUUUGUUAAAUAAGAAUAUUGAGAGCCAAGGAAUUCUAUCAAGCAAAGAUGUUCUACUCAGGUUUAUGAACAGUUUUCCCCCUGUAUGGCUGUACUGUUUAUUCCACUGAGCCUGGCUGCAUCCUUCUGCUUUGAUUUAUAGGGAAGGCAGAAGUCAACACCUAAAAGAUGUGACUUUUAAAACAGUUGCCUAUAAUUUCAACUCGACUUUCUAUUACCAAAACACAUACUGCUGUGAAUCCUUAUUAUCAAGCGGCAAUUGAACAUCACAAAAUGGCCAGCAGAUAAAUAGGAGCCUAACAGAAUAUACUAUCUAAAACAUAAAGUGAUGGUGAAAAGAAUUUGCAUGCUUCUCUAUGGUCAGCACUGUCGUAUACAAGUUGUAAAGAGCCCUCAAGAAUAUAUUAAAGGGAAUGUAAAUAAAUCACAGUGUUUCUAGUGUGACGUAAUUAAUCUGUGCAACAGAGCCUGGGAUAGUCUUUAUUUCUCCCUUUCUGUUGAAGUCCAGUUUCUCAGUUUAUGGCUUCUGCUCCAGUGUCCUAGAGAUAUAUUGGUG
rnacentral:lncRNA from 1 species